GGGCCAUAACUCAGUGGUAGAAUGUCGGCUUUUCAUGCAGGAGGUCCCAGGUGUAAUCCCUGGCAUCUCCA